CUUGUCCAAGCCAUAACUAUGUCGUUCAUUGUCAGAUUUUAAAAUCAUUUGGCACAUUUGUUCACCAUCAUUGGACAGUGUGUCGCGCGAAAUAAUUACGUCGAUAUCUCCAAGGUCAAGGUCACACUUUGAGUUCAAAGGUCAAAAAUGGCCAUAAAUGAGCUUGUCCUGGCCAUAACUAUGUCAUUCAUUGUGAGAUUUUAAAAUCAUGUGGCACAUUUGUUCACCAUCAUGGGACGGUGUGUCGCACGAAAGAAUCACGUCAAUAUCUCCAAUGUCAAGGUCGCCACGACUAAAAAUAGAUUUAAAAAAAAAAAAAACUUACAAAGGGGGUUAAUUUUGUUU